rfam:Myotis davidii contig109145, whole genome shotgun sequence.
GGCGGUUCUCGGAUGUCGCACCCCAGAAUUGGGCUCCCUCCUCUCCGGUUCCAGUUGCAUCACCUGAGAACCUCA